UACGUAGGGGGCAAGCGUUGUCCGGAUUUAUUGGGCGUAAAGAGCGUGUAGGCGGCCAGACAGGUCCGUUGUGAAAACUCGAGGCUCAACCUCGAGACGCCGAUGGAAACCGUCUGGCUAGAGUCCGGAAGAGGAGAGUGGAAUUCCUGGUGUGGCGGUGAAAUGCGCAGAUAUCAGGAAGAACACCCGUGGCUAAGGCGGCUCUCUAGUACGGUACUGACGCUGAGACGCGAAAGCGUGGGGAGCGAACAGG
rnacentral:rRNA from 1 species